rnacentral:rRNA from 1 species
AUUUUUAUGGAGAGUUUGAUCCUGGCUCAGGAUGAACGCUGGCGGCGUGCCUAAUACAUGCAAGUCGAGCGAACGGACGAGAAGCUUGCUUCUCUGAUGUUAGCGGCGGACGGGUGAGUAACACGUGGAUAACCUACCUAUAAGACUGGGAUAACUUCGGGAAACCGGAGCUAAUACCGGAUAAUAUUUUGAACCGCAUGGUUCAAAAGUGAAAGACGGUCUUGCUGUCACUUAUAGAUGGAUCCGCGCUGCAUUAGCUAGUUGGUAAGGUAACGGCUUACCAAGGCAACGAUGCAUAGCCGACCUGAGAGGGCGAUCGGCCACACUGGAACUGAGACACGGUCCAGACUCCUACGGGAGGCAGCAGUAGGGAAUCUUCCGCAAUGGGCGAAAGCCUGACGGAGCAACGCCGCGUGAGUGAUGAAGGUCUUCGGAUCGUAAAACUCUGUUAUUAGGGAAGAACAUAUAUGUAAGUAACUGUGCACAUCUUGACGGUACCUAAUCAGAAAGCCACGGCUAACUACGUGCCAGCAGCCGCGGUAAUACGUAGGUGGCAAGCGUUAUCCGGAAUUAUUGGGCGUAAAGCGCGCGUAGGCGGUUUUUUAAGUCUGAUGUGAAAGCCCACGGCUCAACCGUGGAGGGUCAUUGGAAACUGGAAAACUUGAGUGCAGAAGAGGAAAGUGGAAUUCCAUGUGUAGCGGUGAAAUGCGCAGAGAUAUGGAGGAACACCAGUGGCGAAGGCGACUUUCUGGUCUGUAACUGACGCUGAUGUGCGAAAGCGUGGGGAUCGAAACAGGAUUAGAUACCCUGGUAGUCCACGCCGUAAACGAUGAGUGCUAAGUGUUAGGGGGUUUCCGCCCCUUAGUGCUGCAGCUAACGCAUUAAGCACUCCGCCUGGGGAGUACGACCGCAAGGUUGAAACUCAAAGGAAUUGACGGGGACCCGCACAAGCGGUGGAGCAUGUGGUUUAAUUCGAAGCAACGCGAAGAACCUUACCAAAUCUUGACAUCCUUUGACAACUCUAGAGAUAGAGCUUUCCCCUUCGGGGGACAAAGUGACAGGUGGUGCAUGGUUGUCGUCAGCUCGUGUCGUGAGAUGUUGGGUUAAGUCCCGCAACGAGCGCAACCCUUAAGCUUAGUUGCCAUCAUUAAGUUGGGCACUCUAAGUUGACUGCCGGUGACAAACCGGAGGAAGGUGGGGAUGACGUCAAAUCAUCAUGCCCCUUAUGAUUUGGGCUACACACGUGCUACAAUGGACAAUACAAAGGGCAGCGAAACCGCGAGGUCAAGCAAAUCCCAUAAAGUUGUUCUCAGUUCGGAUUGUAGUCUGCAACUCGACUACAUGAAGCUGGAAUCGCUAGUAAUCGUAGAUCAGCAUGCUACGGUGAAUACGUUCCCGGGUCUUGUACACACCGCCCGUCACACCACGAGUUUGUAACACCCGAAGCCGGUGGAGUAACCUUUUAGGAGCUAGCCGUCGAAGGUGGGACAAAUGAUUGGGGUGAAGUCGUAACAAGGUAGCCGUAUCGGAAGGUGCGGCUGGAUCACCUCCUUU